rnacentral:lncRNA from 10 species
UGCGUCAGCCUCCCGAGUAGCUGGGACUGCAGGCGCCCGACACGACGCCCAGCUAAUUUUUUGUGUUUUUAGUAGAGACGGGGGUUUCACCGUGUUAGCCAGGAUGGUCUGGAUCUCCUGACCUCGUGAUCCGCCCGCCUCGGCCUCCCAAAGUGCUGGGAUUACAGGCGUGAGCCACCGCGCCCGGCCCCUCAUAAGGGAAAGAGUUGUAGAACUGCAGCUUUUGGCUGUUCUCCAGGACUGGUGGGCAACUGUGGCAAGUGCACACCUGUAUACCCAGUCUUUGGCAAUACACAUUACAGAUACUGGCCAAAAAAGAAUUAGAAAAUCAGUGUCAAAGUUGGAUUGUGGUCCCUGAAGACUUAGAUUAAUGGAAUUCUGCUGGAAACAUAAAGGUUGUUUCCCUGCUGUUCACAUCUGUUGCAUCCUGGGAAAAAAACAAAAAGGAAGAUGUUAUGUGAAGAGCUGAUGUUUGCAUCGCCGACUCUCCCUGAUUUGUGCUGAUGAUAGCUGAAGCUGCAGUCUUGGCAUCUUCUACUGCACAUUGUCAUCAGCAAGGUAAGAAGUGCCUUUUGCCUCCUGCCAUGAUUCUGAGGCCUCCCUCCCCAGCCAUGUGGAACC